CCUACGGGAGGCAGCAGUGGGGAAUAUUGCACAAUGGGGGAAACUCUGAUGCAGCGACGCCGCGUGAGUGAAGAAGUAUCUCGGUACGUAAAGCUCUAUCAGAAGGAAAGAAAAUGACGGUACCUGACUAAGAAGCCCCGGCUAACUACGUGCCAGCAGCCGCGGCAAUACGGAGGGGGCAAGCGUUAUCCGGAUUUACUGGGGGUAAAGGGAGCGUAGACGGCGCUGCAAGUCCGGAGUGAAAGCCCAUGGCUUAACCAUGGUACUGCUCUGGAAACUGUAGAGCUUGAGUGCAGGAGGGGCAGGCGGAAUUCCUGGUGUAGCGGUGAAAUGCGUAGAUAUUAGAAGGAACACCGGCGGCGAAGGCAGCCUGCUAAACCGUAACUGACGUUGAGGCUCGAAAGCGUGGGGAGCAAACAGGAUUAGAUACCCUGGUAGUC
rnacentral:rRNA from 1 species